rnacentral:misc_RNA from 1 species
CCGAGUUUCCAACUCCCAAACCCCUGUGAAUAUACCUAUCGUUGCUUCGGCGGGGGAUCGUCCUGGGGCCCCAGGCGCUCGCCGGAGGACCCAAACCUCUGUCUUCAUGAGAAUCUUCUGAGUGAUGCAAGCAAAAAUACAUCA